rnacentral:rRNA from 1 species
GGAUCAUUACUGAGUGAGGGCUCACGCCCGACCUCCAACCCUUUGUGAACACAUCUUGUUGCUUCGGGGGCGACCCUGCCGGCACUUCGUCGCCGGGCGCCCCCGAAGGUCUCCAAACACUGCAUCUUUGCGUCGGAGUUUAAAACAAAUUAAACAAAACUUUCAACAACGGAUCUCUUGGUUCUGGCAUCGAUGAAGAACGCAGCGAAAUGCGAUAAGUAAUGUGAAUUGCAGAAUUCAGUGAAUCAUCGAAUCUUUGAACGCACAUUGCGCCCUUUGGUAUUCCGAAGGGCAUGCCUGUUCGAGCGUCAUUUCACCACUCAAGCCUGGCUUGGUGUUGGGCGUCGCGGCUCCGCGCGCCUUAAAGUCUCCGGCUGAGCCAUUCGUCUCUAAGCGUUGUGGAUUUUCUAAUUCGCUUCGGAGUGCGGGUGGCCGCGGCCGUUAAAUCUUUAUUCAAAGGUUGACCUC